rnacentral:rRNA from 1 species
GAUGAACGCUGGCGGCGUGCCUAAUACAUGCAAGUCGAGCGAACGGACGAGAAGCUUGCUUUUCUGAUGUUAGCGGCGGACGGGUGAGUAACACGUGGAUAACCUACCUAUAAGACUGGGAUAACUUCGGGAAACCGGAGCUAAUACCGGAUAAUAUUUUGAACCGCAUGGUUCAAAAGUGAAAGACGGUCUUGCUGUCACUUAUAGAUGGAUCCGCGCUGCAUUAGCUAGUUGGUAAGGUAACGGCUUACCAAGGCAACAAUGCAUAGCCGACCUGAGAGGGUGAUCGGCCACACUGGAACUGAGACACGGUCCAGACUCCUACGGGAGGCAGCAGUAGGGAAUCUUCCGCAAUGGGCGAAAGCCUGACGGAGCAACGCCGCGUGAGUGAUGAAGGUCUUCGGAUCGUAAAGCUCUGUUAGUAGGGAAGAACAUAUGUGUAAGUAACUGUGCACAUCUUGACGGUACCUAAUCAGAAAGCCACGGCUAACUACGUG